rnacentral:rRNA from 1 species
UACGAAGGGGGCGAGCGUUGUUCGGAAUUACUGGGCGUAAAGGGCGCGCAGGCGGCUCUGAAAGUCAGAUGUGAAAGCCCCGGGCUUAACCUGGGAACUGCAUUUGAUACUCUAGAGCUUGAGUACGGGAGAGGAGAGUGGAAUUCCCAGUGUAGGUGAAAUUCGUAGAUAUUCGGAAGAACACCAGUGGCGAAGGCGACUUACUGGACACAUAUUGACGCUGAGGUGCGAAAGCGUGGGGAGCAAACAGG